UACGGAGGGUGCAAGCGUUGUCCGGAUUUAUUGGGCUUAAAGGGCGCGUAGGCGGCUUGGUAAGUCAGUGGUGAAAGUUUGCAGCUCAACUGUAAAAUUGCCAUUGAUACUGUCAGUCUUGAGUGCAGUCGAGGUGGUUGGAAUGCGUAGUGUAGCGGUGAAAUGCUUAGAUAUUACGCAGAACACCAAUAGCGAAGGCAGAUCGCCAGGCUGUAACUGACGCUGAGGCACGAAAGUGUGGGGAUCGAACAGG
rnacentral:rRNA from 1 species